AUUAUUUUGGCAGAUUAAGUGCGAUAGAUUUAGAAUCUAUAGAUGUAAUUAAAUUAUAAAUAAUA
rnacentral:tRNA from 1 species